rnacentral:lncRNA from 1 species
CAUCCCCACAACUGCUGAAAGGAAUAUACUGUGACUACAGGCUUGAAGAGCUCCAUAUGAUUCUAGACAAAAUAACAGCAGAGGAGGAGAAAGGAAUGAAGACCAGAGCAUUUGACUUUCACAGAUGCUGGGGACCGCUCCAGACCAAGAACUGUUGGACUUAGAAAUGGAAAACAGCAUGAGCCACAGCCCACCCAGGACUGCUCCUGCACUACUUUCCUGAGCUUUAGAACUGUGACUGUUCCACAGCUAAAUUCAGCUCUAAAGCCAAGGCUCAUUCCAUUUCUUGACCUUACCCCUCCUGAAGACCUAUGAUGCCUUCUUCACUGUGUCCUGAGGAAGAGGAGUGGGCAGGACUGGAUUCUUCUCAGCUGCUGUGCUUGGGAGACAGGAGGAGCCUGUGGAGGGACUCAAGUUCCAUGGGGCUUUGAGGAGAUGUCAAAGAAGCAACAGAGGCAGCUGUUCCUCUGGAGAAGCAGAAGACUUUUUCUGACAGGAAGAUGUGCUGAAUUUCAGUAUGAACUUGGGUUAUUUUAUUAUUCUAGAACUUUAUGAAAAUACCCUAAGUCACAUUGCUUAAAAAUGCUUUGGGACCAAGAUCUCUCCUGCCAGGAGCAGAGGUCUGUCCCACAGCCAGCAAGCAGCAGGCACAUUUUCUGGGAACAGACCAUGGAUAGAAGAGCAAGAUAUACUGAAUGUCUGAGCUCAAACAUGAAUGCCAGACCAUCAUUGCACUUCUGCACUACUGUUUGUAAAUAAACAAGAGAUCACAGGGGGAAACCCAACAGAUACAAAAAUCUUUCUGAUGGCAGCUGUGUGCAUGCAAAUUCUCUGCUGUCUUGUGUAGACGUUUUUUUUCCUAACAUGCAAGCAAAUGUCCAAAUCCCACCUCUGCUCAAAAGGGAUUGGUGGGGAAAAGCAUUAUUUCUGCAUGAGAAAGGGAAUAGGCGCAUUAACUUUGCUGCUGCAGAAGAAAUGGGAUUGCUGUGGCUGUCCUGGGUGUAAGA